rnacentral:rRNA from 1 species
UACGCUACUACAGUGCUUAACAGAUACAAGUGAGGUGGAAACGAUAUUGGAAGCUUGCUUCCGAUAGGCGUCGACCGGCGCACGGGUGAGUAACGCGUAUUCAACCUGCCCACCACUUGGGGAUAACCUUGGCGAAAGUAAGACUAAUACCCAAUGAUAUCUCUAGAAGACAUCUGAAAGAGAUUAAAGAUUUAUCAGGUGCUGUGAUGGGGAUGCGCUCUGGAUUAGACUAGCUUGUGUGAGGGUAACUUGUUCACCAAGGGCAACGCAUCUUUACGGGCUCUGAGAGGAUUAGUCCCCCACACUGGUACUGAGACACGGACCAGACUCCUACGGGAGGCAGCAGUGAGGAAUAUCGGUCAAUGGGCGCAAGCCUGAACCAGACAUCCCGCGUGCAGGAUGACGGCCCUAUGGGUUGUAAACUGCUUUUGUUUGCCAAGAAUGGUUACUACGUGUAGUAAUUUGACGGUAGCAAAUGAAUAAGGACCGGAUAACUCCGUGCCAGCAGCCGCGGAUAAUACAGAACGUCCGGGCGUUAUCCGGAUUCAUCGGGUCUAACGGGAGCGUAGGCCGGAGAUUAAGCGGUGUUGUGAAAUGUACAUGCUCAACCUCUGCACUGCACCGCCGAAAAUGG